GGCAGUGUAGCAUAGUGGUUAAGGCUCAAGGCUUGUAACCAAAAGGUUGCUGGUUUAAUUCCCUGCUGGGGCACUGCUG